rnacentral:rRNA from 1 species
AUGCACGCUGGCGGCGUGCUUCACCCCUGCCGGUCGGACGGAAAGGCCCAAGCUUGCUUGGGUACUCGAGUGGCGAACGGGGGAGUAACACGUGGGUGAUCUGCCCUGCACUUCGGGAUAAGCCUGGGAAACUGGGUCUAAUACCGGAUAGGACCACUUCUUGGAUGUUGUGGUGGAAAGUUUUUUCGGUGUGGGAUGAGCUCGCGGCCUAUCAGCGUGUUGGUGGGGUAAUGGCCUACCGAGGCGCCGACGGGUAGCCGGACUGUGAGGGUGGACGGCCACCUUGGGACUGAGGUGCGGCCCAGGCUCCUACGGGAGGACGCAGUGGGGAAGCCUGCACCAUGCGCACCAGCCUGAUGCAGCGACGCCGCGUGGUGGAUGACGGCUUUCGGGUUGUAAACUCCUUUCGCUAGGGACGAAGCGUUUUGUGACGGUACCUGGAGAAGAAGCACCGGCUAACUACGUG